AGCUCCGGUGGCCUAGUGGUUAGAGCGUCCGCCUCGGAUGCGGGAAGUCGCGGGUACGAACCCUGCUGAGUCA